AGGAAGAAUUGAAGGUGUUUGGGACGUGAACAGUAGCGUGAACAAGAUGGAAUUGACGUACUGAGCCCUCGAGCGAGGAGGACACAGGCAGGCAGCAGGGUUAGCUGCGAGACUCACUUAUUUCAGAUUAGCAGAGAUUGCGUCCAGGCUCAAGAACUUGGGAAUCAGCGCUUCCGUUUUUGUCCGUAGGUUAUUACUUAACCUACCUUGUAUGAUAUCGGCUUAGUUUAGUGUUGCUCUGAUAAACCUUUUCUUUGAAGUUUGAUGGAGGUUGUUGUUUGGGUUGUUGUUGCUUACAGAGGAUUAUGUUGGGAUUUGAGCUUUUCGGAUGUAAUAUAUGUGCUUGGAUUGUAAAUUUGAUAUCGUAGGUUGAGUAGAAGAUAUAGUUGAAAUCAUGUCCAGGUUUGUGAAAUUUUGGGUA
rnacentral:lncRNA from 1 species